rnacentral:tRNA from 1 species
CGCUAAGAAGCUAAUAAGGGCCUAGCAUUAGCCUUUUAAGCUAAACACUGGUGGCUCCCGACCACCCUCAGCGG